CGGUUGAUCNUGCCGGGAUNNNACUGCUAUCGGGAUGAGACUAAAACAUGCUAGUUGUGCGCACCCAGGCUAUGUUGGGAGCGCAGCGAACGGCUCUGUAACACGUUGUCAAUCUAACNUUAGGAUAGGAAUAACCCCGGGAAACUGGGGCUAAUANNGAUAGGUGAGAAAAUCUGGAAUGAUUUUUCGCUCAAAUAGUUAUAGGAACAUGCUUCUUUAACUGCCUAAGGAUGAGACUGCGUCCGAUCAGGUUGUUGGUGGGGUGAUGGCCUACCAAGCCUAUAACCGGUACGGGCCCUGAGAGGGGGAGCCCGGAGAUGGGAACUGAGACAAGGUCCCAGACCCUACGGGGUGCAGCAGUUGCGAAACCUCUACAAUGCACGAAAGUGUGAUAGGGUUAUCCCGAGUGCCGUCCGAUGAGGAUGGCUUUUCCCCGGUGUAAGGAGCCGGGAGAAUAAAGGGGGGGCAAGACUGGUGUCAGCCGCCGCGGUAAUACCAGCCCCCUGAGUGGUAGGGAUGAUUAUUUGGCCUAAAACGUCCGUAGCCGGCUCAGCAAGUCUUUCGUUAAAUCCGGUGACUUAAUCAUCGGGCGGCGAGAGAUACUGCUAGGCUUGAGGGCGGGAGAGGUCGACGGUAUUCCGGGGGUAGGGGUAAAAUCCUAUAAUCCUCGGAGGACCACCAGUGGCGAAGGCGGUCGACUAGAACGUGCCUGACGGUGAUGGACGAAAGCUGGGGGAGCAAACCGGAUUAGACACCCGGGUAGUCCCAGCUGUAAACGAUGCGGGCUAGGUGUUGGAUCAGCUACGAGCUGCUCCAGUGCCGAAGAGAAGUCAUUAAGCCCGCUGCCUGGGAAGUACGGUCGCAAGACUGAAACUUAAAGGAAUUGGCGGGGGAGCAC
rnacentral:rRNA from 1 species